rnacentral:rRNA from 1 species
UACGAAGGGGGCUAGCGUUGCUCGGAAUUACUGGGCGUAAAGCGCACGUAGGCGGAUUGUUAAGUCGGGGGUGAAAUCCUGGAGCUCAACUCCAGAACUGCCUUCGAUACUGGCGAUCUCGAGUUCGGGAGAGGUGAGUGGAACUGCGAGUGUAGAGGUGAAAUUCGUAGAUAUUCGCAAGAACACCAGUGGCGAAGGCGGCUCACUGGCCCGAUACUGACGCUGAGGUGCGAAAGCGUGGGGAGCAACAGGGAUUAAGAAACCCCAGUAC